rnacentral:rRNA from 1 species
CCUACGGGUGGCAGCAGUAGGGAAUAUUGCUCAAUGGGGGAAACCCUGAAGCAGCAACGCCGCGUGGAGGAUGAAGGUUUUCGGAGUGGAAACGCCUGUUGUUAGAGAAGAGAAGGACGGUAGCUAACGAAUAAGCACCGGCUAACUCCGUGCCAGCAGCCGCGGUAAUACGGAGGGUGCAAGCGUUACUCGGAACCACUGGGCGUAAAGAGCGCGUAGGCGGGAUAGCAAGUCAGAUGUGAAAUCCUAGGGCUUAACCCUAGAACUGCAUUUGAAACUGUUAUUCUAGAGUAUGGGAGAGGUCGGUGGACUUCUUGGUGUCGGGGUCAAAUCCGUAGAGCUC